rnacentral:rRNA from 1 species
AUCAGACACGGUGUCAGCCGCCGCGGUAAUACGUAGGGCGCAAGCGUUGUCCGGAAUUAUUGGGCGUAAAGAGCUCGUAGGUGGUUUGUCGCGUCUGGUGUGAAAUCCCGGGGCUUAACUUCGGGCGUGCAUCGGGUACGGGCAGGCUAGAGUGCGGUAGGGGAGACUGGAAUUCCUGGUGUAGCGGUGGAAUGCGCAGAUAUCAGGAGGAACACCGAUGGCGAAGGCAGGUCUCUGGGCCGCAACUGACGCUGAGGAGCGAAAGCAUGGGGAGCGAACAGGAUUAGAUACCCUGGUAGUCCAUGCCGUAAACGUUGGGCACUAGGUGUGGGGCCUACUCCACGGGUUCCGUGCCGUAGCUAACGCAUUAAAGUGCCCCGCCUGGGGAGUACGGCCGCAAGGCUAAAAACUUAAAUGAAUUGGCGGG